rnacentral:rRNA from 1 species
UGGGGAAUAUUGGACAAUGGGCGAAAGCCUGAUCCAGCCAUGCCGCGUGUGUGAAGAAGGCCUUUUGGUUGUAAAGCACUUUAAGCGAGGAGGAGGGUACUGGUAUUAAUACUACCAGGUACUGGACGUUACUCGCAGAAUAAGCACCGGCUAACUCUGUGCCAGCAGCCGCGGUAAUACAGAGGGUGCGAGCGUUAAUCGGAUUUACUGGGCGUAAAGCGUGCGUAGGCGGCUAAUUGAGUCGGAUGUGAAAUCCCCGAGCUUAACUUGGGAAUUGCAUUCGAUACUGGUUAGCUAGAGUGUGGGAGAGGAUGGUAGAAUUCCAGGUGUAGCGGUGAAAUGCGUAGAGAUCUGGAGGAAUACCGAUGGCGAAGGCAGCCAUCUGGCCUAACACUGACGCUGAGGUACGAAAGCAUGGGGAGCAAACAGG